AUGCUGACUGCCCCUCUUGGUGGGAAACCCAGGAGCUUUUCCCUGUGCAUCAUGGACCUGCUUAAAGUCUCAGUGCCUAUCACCAUGUGUUUAUUCAAGUGUCAUCGUGAAACCAGAAAAACAGUCAUGCGUCUGUAACAAGAACAGUGAGAGUAAUGUUGUUUUUCUUUACGUGAAUAUUUAGUUGAUCAGUACCACAUCUGAAUGAGAAUGAUUUGAUGACUGCCAUCCACAUCCACCACUUACCUAACGAACACUCUUCACGCAGCAUUAUGUGCCAAUCAACAAAGUUUAUGAUUAAUAUUCCCUUUUGUCAGUAACAACUUCUACACAUGGCAACAUGCUUGACUGAAAACCUUUAAGCAUGUCUAUAGUCUUUAUGGGGGGUGAUGCUGUUACUCAUCAGAUAUAUUAUGCCAAUAUGUCAGUUCUCAAUUAGAGGUGAGAUGAGGGCAGUGAGAAUGCAGGCGCCUUAAAGGCAGGUAGGCAGGUAGUCCUGCCUUUAAGAGGAGCAGGCAGCCAGAGGAGCAGGCAGCCAGAGGAGCAGGCAGCCAGAGGAGCAGGCAGCCAGAGGAGCAGGCAGCCAGAGGAGCAGGCAGCCAGAGGAGCAGGCAGCCAGUACAUUGCAAUAAACUUUGUAUGUAUUCUGUUGUAAAUAUAUUCUGUUAGUGAAAUAUUAAAGUUUAUUGUAACGUACUGGCCACCUACUCCUCUUAGUUAUCGAUUAGGAAGUUGUUUCUGACUGUUGAUGUUCACAGGCCUCUCCAAAUGCUAUGUUGAAGGAGCAACACAGUUGGAGGAAAACAGACAGUUUCUCUCUUCACCAAGUUAUCCAAUGUUCGCAUCAUGAACAAAUGUUGCAUCAUUUCAACUGCUCCUCCUCAAAGUAACGGAUGUGAAAUAGCUAGCUAGUUAGCGGUGGUGCGCGCUAAAUAGCGUUUCAAUCGGUGACGUCACUUGCUCUGAGACCUUGAAGUAGUGGUUCCCCUUGCUCUGCAAGGGCUGCGGCUUUUGUGGAGCGAUGGGUAACGAUGC
rnacentral:lncRNA from 1 species